rnacentral:rRNA from 1 species
UCAGGACAAACGCUGGCGGCGUGCCUAACACAUGCAAGUCGAACGAAGCACUAGUGGAAAGAGACUUCGGUCAAUUGAAACUUUGACUUAGUGGCGGACGGGUGAGUAAUGCAUGAGCAACCUGCCCUGGAGAGGGGGACAACAGCUGGAAACGGCUGCUAAUACCGCAUGAUGUCAUUAGGAGGCAUCUUCUGAUGACCAAAGAUUUAUCGCUCUGGGAUGGGCUCAUGUCUGAUUAGAUAGUUGGCGGGGCAACGGCCCACCAAGUCUGCGAUCAGUAGCCGGACUGAGAGGUUGAACGGCCACAUUGGGACUGAGAUACGGCCCAGACUCCUACGGGAGGCAGCAGUGGGGAAUAUUGGGCAAUGGGCGCAAGCCCUGACCCAGCAACGCCGCGUGAAGGAAGAAGGCUUUCGGGUUGUAAACUUCUUUUAUCAGGGACGAAGAAAGUGACGGUACCUGAUGAAUAAGCCACGGCUAACUACGUGCCAGCCGCGGC